CACUCCAUAACUGUUGACGUGUGUCCCUCCUCCUUCCAGAUCCAGCGUCUGCCGUUCUUACCCAGUUCAAACCUGGCUCUGGACACACUGCGAGGCAGCGACGAGUCCAUCGGCUUUGAGGACAUCCUCAGUGAUCCAGCCCAGAGUGAAGUGAUGGGCGAGCCGCACAUGAUGGUGGAAUACAAACUGGGACUGUUGUGAAAGAAGACGGACACACACACAAUACACAGCUGAACUCAUAAUUUAGGUUUAUUAUUUGUCUGCAUACAUUUGUUUUUUUUCGCCUCAAAAACCAAAAUCACCAACUUGAGGUUCUGCAGAAUUGAGUCGCUCAUGUUUUGGGAGGAGAAAGGGGCGGAUGGGUUGUGGGUGUGGGGGGUUAUCCUGUAAAAUUCAGAUCUGCUUUUGUAUGGUUCCAAUCCGAUUGGUAUUUCUAAUAAAACUCAUAACCUUCCUCAUAA